GCCUGGCUAGCUCAGUCGGUAGAGCAUGAGACUCAAUCUCAGGGUUGUGGGUUCAUGCCCCACGUUGGGCG
rnacentral:tRNA from 2 species